AUGUAGCUUCAAAUAAGAUCAUCACUACACACCUCCAAACUUCAUGUAGCUUCAAAUAAGAUCAUCACUACACACCUCCAAACUUCAUGUAGCUUCAGAUUAGAUCAUCACUACACACCUCCAAACUACAUGUAGCUUCCUUUCACUGGAAAAAGGAAUAGAUACGUAAAUGAAUUUUCACUUAUUAUAACUCAAAUGUCUUUGUUUUUGCUCACAGCUCAUCAGUUUGACCAACAUGAAAAGGAAGGUGACUCUGUCUUGCUGAAUCUGGUCAUGCAGCCACCGGUGAUGGUGCAUUUCACCAGUGCGAGUAAGGACACUACAGAGGUUUGGAUUUGCACCAUCACGAAAAAAUGAGUUCACUGCAAGAGCGGCUACGAUCACCGAGCCUCCAUCGUGAAUGCGUCUCUGAUGCUGAGUCAGCUGACAGUGGCAGACAGAGGAACGUACACCGUCGUAGACAUCAAUACAUCGGAAGUCUUUGCUUUUCACCAGCUAGAGGUUAUUGAUAUGCCCUCUGCCAAGUUUCCAGUUGUUGCUUUAGUAUCAUGCGGGUUUCUUGUGGCAGUUGUCUGUGCAUUUGCUCUGGGGGCCUGCUGUCGAAAGCGAAAGCAACAGCAGCAAAGGCAGCCCAGGCACGAGAUGAGAGGCUCUGACGAUGAGAUGGUCCAGCUCUCAGUUCAGCAAAGUGAAAGCAGUUACAGACCACCAAUUCCAUGGAUUGAGAAGAAACAAAACAACCAACCAAUCUUAGAAGAUCCAGAAGAGGAAGGCUCCUGUUCCACCCAGGCUACUGCUGAUCAAGAGAUACAAAAUGAACAAAGCUAAAGCAGCAGCUUGGCUAAUUGUUGUGCAAGUUUUUGUGUAACUUUUGUUUUUUGUGUAACGUGUUUUUUGUGUGUUAAGUUUUAACUUUAAAAUAAUUCUUUUUAAGGGUAAGUUUUGGGUCCAGACUUGGAUUAGGCCUAGUCCUACACUCUAAGAAAGAUAAGUACAGAUUUGUUCUUAAAAGAGUACAAAGCUU
rnacentral:lncRNA from 1 species